AGCGCAGGCGGGAGAUCAAGUCUAUCUUAAAAGUGCGGGGCUCAACCCCGUGAGGGGAUGGAAACUGGUCUUCUUGAGUGCAGGAGAGGAAAGCGGAAUUCCUAGUGUAGCGGUGAAAUGCGUAGAUAUUAGGAGGAACACCAGUGGCGAAGGCGGCUUUCUGGACUGUAACUGACGCUGAGGCUCGAAAGCGUGGGGAGCGAACA
rnacentral:rRNA from 1 species